AAGUCGUAACAAGGUCUCCGUAGGUGAACCUGCGGAGGGAUCAUUGCAAGAACGCCCGGGCUUCGGCCUGGUUAUUCAUAACCCUUUGUUGUCCGACUCUGUUGCCUCCGGGGCGACCCUGCCUUCGGGCGGGGGCUCCGGGUGGACACUUCAAACUCUUGCGUAACUUUGCAGUCUGAGUAAACUUAAUUAAUAAAUUAAAACUUUUAACAACGGAUCUCUUGGUUCUGGCAUCGAUGAAGAACGCAGCGAAAUGCGAUAAGUAAUGUGAAUUGCAGAAUUCAGUGAAUCAUCGAAUCUUUGAACGCACAUUGCGCCCCCUGGUAUUCCGGGGGGCAUGCCUGUUCGAGCGUCAUUUCACCACUCAAGCCUCGCUUGGUAUUGGGCAACGCGGUCCGCCGCGUGCCUCAAAUCGUCCGGCUGGGUCUUCUGUCCCCUAAGCGUUGUGGAAACUAUUCGCUAAAGGGUGUUCGGGAGGCUACGCCGUAAAACAACCCCAUUUCUAAGGUUGACCUCGGAUCAGGUAGGGAUACCCGCUGAACUUAA
rnacentral:rRNA from 1 species